rnacentral:rRNA from 1 species
CCUACGGGCGGCAGCAGUAGGGAAUUUUCGUCAAUGGGCGCGAGCCUGAACGAGCAAUGCCGCGUGAACGAGGAAUGUCUUCGGAUCGUAAAGUUCUGUUUAAGGAGAAAAAGAGCGGAGAGCGGAAAUGCUUUCUGAUUUAUAUUACCCUUCGAGGAAGUCACGGCUAACUACGUCCCAGCAGCCGCGGUAAUACGUAGGUGGCGAGCGUUAGCCGGAAUGAUUGGGGGUAAAGGGUGCGUAGGUGGGCUGGUAGGUCUGGAGUGAAAGGUAACGGCUCAACCGGUACAGGGUAUGGGAAACGGGGGGCUAGGGGGAAAGAUAGGGCGGUGGAAAUUCAUGGGUAGCGGUAAAAUGGGUAGAUAUAUGGGAGAAAAUCAGAGUCGGAGGCGGCCGCCU